rnacentral:rRNA from 1 species
GAUGAACGCUGGCGGCGUGCCUAAUACAUGCAAGUCGAGCGAACAGACGAGGAGCUUGCUCCUCUGCCGUUAGCGGCGGACGGGUGAGUAACACGUGGAUAACCUACUUCUUAGACUGGGAUAACUUCGGGAAACCGGAGCCACUACCGGCUCAUACAUUCAACCGCAUGGUUCAAUAGUUCAUGACAGCUUUCCUGUCACUUAUAGCUGGAUCCGCGUCGCAUUAGCUAGUUGGUAAGGUAACGGCUUACCAAGGCUACGAUGCGUAGCCGACCUGAGAGGAUGAUCGGCCACACUGGAACUGAGACACGGUCCAGACUCCUACGGGAGGCAGCAGUAGGGAAUAUUCCGCAAUGGGCGAAAGCCUGACGGAGCAACACCGCGUGAGUGAUGAAGGUCUUCGGAUCGUAAAACUCUGUUAUUAGGGAAGAAAAAAAGUGGAAGAAACUAUGCACGUCUUGACGGUACCUAAACAGAAAGCCACGGCUAACUACGUG